AGCAGCCGCGGUAAUUCCAGCUCCAAUAGCGUAUAUUAAAGUUGUUGCAGUUAAAAAGCUCGUAGUUGAAUUUCGGGAUCAAUACGUCGGUCGUGCUUCGGUACGUACUAACGAUAUUGAUUUCUCCCUUCUGACGAACCGUGAUGUCAUUAAUUUGGUGUUACGGGGAGUCAGGACUGUUACUUUGAAAAAAUUAGAGUGUUUAAAGCAAGCAAUCGCUCGAAUACAUUAGCAUGGAAUAAUGAAAUAGGACGUUCGAACCUAUUUUGUUGGUUUCUAGGAUCGACGUAAUGAUUAAUAGGGAUAGUUGGGGGCAUUAGUAUUCAAUUGUCAGAGGUGAAAUUCUUGGAUUUAUUGAAGACUAACUACUGCGAAAGCAUUUGCCAAGGAUGUUUUCAUUAAUCAAGAACGAAAGUUAGGGGAUCGAAGACGAUCAGAUACCGUCGUAGUCUUAACCAUAAACUAUGCCGACUAGGGAUCGGAUGAUGUUAAUUUUUUAAUGACUCAUUCGGCGCCUUAC
rnacentral:rRNA from 1 species